rnacentral:rRNA from 1 species
UACGUAGGUGGCAAGCGUUGUUCGGAAUUAUUGGGCGUAAAGGGCGCGUAGGCGGCCUUCUAAGUCGGACGUGAAAUCCCUCGGCUCAACCGAGGAACUGCGUCCGAUACUGAAAGGCUUGAAUCCGGGAGAGGGAUGUGGAAUUCCAGGUGUAGCGGUGAAAUGCGUAGAUAUCUGGAGGAACACCGGUGGCGAAGGCGGCAUCCUGGACCGGUAUUGACGCUGAGGCGCGAAAGCUAGGGGAGCAAACGGG